AUAAAAAUGAUGCUAAUUUUACACAAAGUCUUCCCUGUGAUCUAUUUUGGAAAAGUUCAUAUAUAAUUCUAGUGAUCGAGAAGGUAAUUAUCUUUAUUU